rnacentral:rRNA from 1 species
AUUGAACGCUGGCGGCAGGCCUAACACAUGCAAGUCGAGCGGAGCGGGGACGGGUGAGUAACACGUGGGUAACCUCCCAUCAGAGGGGAUAACACUUGGAAACAGGUGCUAAACCGAUACUGAUGGAUGGACCCGCGGUGCAUUAGCUAGGUGGUGCGUUAACGGUUCACCACGGCCACGAUGCAUAGCCGACCUGAGAGGGUGAUCGGCCACACUGGGACUGAGACACGGCCCAGACUCCUACGGGAGGCAGCAGUAGGGAAUCUUCGGCAAUGGACGAAAGUCUGACCGAGCAACGCCGCGUGAGUGAAGAAGGUUUUCGGAUCGUAAAACUCUGUUGUUAGAGAAGCGGUAUCUAACCAGAAAGCCACGGCUAACUACGUGCCAGCAGCCGCGGUAAUAC